rnacentral:rRNA from 1 species
UACAGAGGGUGCGAGCGUUAAUCGGAAUUACUGGGCGUAAAGCGCGCGUAGGCGGCUUUGCAAGUCGGGUGUGAAAUCCCCAGGCUUAACCUGGGAACUGCAUUCGAGACUGCAUUGCUAGAGUAUGGGAGAGGGAAGUGGAAUUUCCGGUGUAGCGGUGAAAUGCGUAGAGAUCAUGAGGAAGACCAGUGGCGAAGGCGGGUCUCUGGACAGUUCCUGACACUGAGACACGAAGGCCAGGGGAGCAAACGGG